GACGAACGCUGGCGGCGUGCCUAAUACAUGCAAGUAGAACGCACAGUUUAUACCGUAGCUUGCUACACCAUAGCCUGUGAGUUGCGAACGGGGGAGUAACGCGUAGGUAACCUGCCUGGUAGCGGGGGAUAACUAUUGGAAACGAUAGCUAAUACCGCAUAAUCUUGAUUAUUGCAUGAUAAUUGAUUGAAAGAUGCUAUUGCAUCACUACCAGAUGGACCUGCGUUGUAUUAGCUAGUAGGGGAGGUAACGGCUCACCUAGGCGACGAUACAUAGCCGAGCCGGAGAGGUGAUCCGCCAACACUGGAAUGGGAACAGGCCCAGAAUCCUACGGGAGGCAGCAGUAGGGAAACUUCGGAAAUGGACGGAAGUCUGACCGAGCAACGCCGCGUGAGUGAAGAAGGUUUUCGGAUCGUAAAGCUCUGUUGUAAGAGAAGAAAGGGUGGGAGAGUGGAAAGUUCACACUGUGACGGUAUCUUAACAGAAAGGGACGGCUAACUACGUG
rnacentral:rRNA from 1 species